GUUUUUAUAAUUUAAAAUAAAAUUUUGGUCUUGUAAAUCAAUUAUAAUCUCAACAGAUUUAAAAACA
rnacentral:tRNA from 1 species